CAGUAGCCGCGGUAAUCCGUAGGUCCCGAGCGUUGUCCGGAUUUAUUGGGCGUAAAGCGAGCGCAGGCGGUUAGAUAAGUCUGAAGUUAAAGGCUGUGGCUUAACCAUAGUACGCUUUGGAAACUGUUUAACUUGAGUGCAGAAGAGGAGAGUGGAAUUCCAUGUGUAGCGGUGAAAUGCGUAGAUAUAUGGAGGAACACCGGUGGCGAAAGCGGCUCUCUGGCUUGUAACUGACGCUGAGGCUCGAAAGCGUGGGGCGCAAACAGGAUUAGAUACCCGGGUAGUCCCUGUCUCUUAUACC
rnacentral:rRNA from 1 species